GACAGAGGUGCCGAGCGUUAGGCGGAAUCACUGGGCGUAAAGGGUGCGUAGGCGGGUCUUUAAGUCAGAGGUGAAAUCCUGGAGCUCAACUCCAGAACUGCCUUUGAUACUGAGGGUCUUGAGUAUGACAGAGGUGAGUGGAACUGCGAGUGUAGAGGUGAAAUUCGUAGAUAUUCGCAAGAACACCAGUGGCGAAGGCGGCUCACUGGGUCAUUACUGACGCUGAGGCACGAAAGCGUGGGGAGCAAACAGG
rnacentral:rRNA from 1 species